AGAGCGAACGCUGGCGGCAGGCCUAACACAUGCAAGUCGAGCGGCCGUAGCAAUACGGCAGCGGCAGACGGGAUAGUAACACGUGGGAACGCGCCCUUCGGUUCGGAAUAACUCAGGGAAACUUGAGCUAAUACCGGAUACGCCCUUACGGGGAAAGAUUUAUUGCCGAAGGAACGGCCCGCGUCCGAUUAGCUAGUUGGUGAGGUAAUGGCUCACCAAGGCUACGAUCGGUAGCUGGUCUGAGAGGAUGACCAGCAUCACUGGGACUGAGACACGGCCCAGACUCCUACGGGAGGCAGCAGUGGGGAAUAUUGGACAAUGGGCGCAAGCCUGAUCCAGCCAUGCCGCGUGGAUGAUGACGGCCUUAGGGUUGUAAAGUCCUUUUAACGGGGAAGAUAAUGACGGUACCCGUAGAAUAAGCCCCGGCUAACUUCGCGCCAGCAGCCGC
rnacentral:rRNA from 1 species